AUUCGCCCUUAGAGUUUGAUCCUGGCGCAGGAUGAACGCUGGCGGCGUGCAUAACACGUUCAAGUCGAACGGGGAAGGGACUUCGGUCCCGGAACAGUGGCGGACGGGUGAGUAACGCGUGAGCAAUCUGCCUGGCAUAGAGGGAUAACACAGGGAAACUUGUGCUAAUACCACAUGAUGUAUACCGAUCGCAUGUUUGGUAUACCAAAGGGAAACCGAUGUCAGAUGAGCUCGCGUUGGAUUAGACAGUUGGCAGGGUAACGGCCUACCAAAUCAACGAUCCAUAGCCGAACUGAGAGGUUGAACGGCCACAUUGGAACUGAGAAACGGUCCAGACUCCUACGGGAGGCAGCAGUGGGGAAUAUUGGGCAAUGGGCGAAAGCCUGACCCAGCGACGCCGCGUGAGGGAAGACGGUCUUCGGAUUGUAAACCUCUUUCAGCAGGGAAGAAGCAAGUGACGGUACCUGCAGAAGAAGUCACGGCUAACUACGUGCCAGCAGCCGCGGUAAUACGUAGGUGGCGAGCGUUGUCCGGAAUUACUGGGCGUAAAGGGCGUGUAGGCGGAAAUUUAAGUCAGAUGUGAAAGACCCGGGCUCAACUUGGGGACUGUAUUUGAUACUGGUUUUCUUGAGGACAGGAGAGGAAAGCGGAAUUCCUAGUGUAGCGGUGAAAUGCGUAGAUAUUAGGAGGAACACCAGUGGCGAAGGCGGCUUUCUGGACUGUAACUGACGCUGAGGCGCGAAAGCGUGGGGAGCGAACGGGAUUAGAUACCCCGGUAGUCCACGCUGUAAACGAUGGGUAAUAGGGUGUAGGAAGGAUCCACCCCCU
rnacentral:rRNA from 1 species